GAUGAACGCUGGCGGCGUGCCUAAUGCAUGCAAGUCGAGCGAACGGACGAGAAGCUUGCUUCUCUGAUGUUAGCGGCGGACGGGUGAGUAACACGUGGAUAACCUACCUAUAAGACUGGGAUAACUUCGGGAAACCGGAGCUAAUACCGGAUGAUAUUUUGAACCGCAUGGUUCAAAAGUGAAAGACGGUCUUGCUGUCACUUAUAGAUGGAUCCGCGCUGCAUUAGCUAGUUGGUAAGGUAACGGCCUACCAAGGCAACGAUGCAUAGCCGACCUGAGAGGGUGAUCGGCCACACUGGAACUGAGACACGGUCCAGACUCCUACGGGAGGCAGCAGUAGGGAAUCUUCCGCAAUGGGCGAAAGCCUGACGGAGCAACGCCGCGUGAGUGAUGAAGGUCUUCGGAUCGUAAAACUCUGUUAUUAGGGAAGAACAUAUGUGUAAGUAACUGUGCACAUCUUGACGGUACCUAAUCAGAAAGCCACGGCUAACUACGUG
rnacentral:rRNA from 1 species